ensembl:misc_RNA Metazoa_SRP Metazoan signal recognition particle RNA
GCUGGGCAUGGUGGUGCAUGCCUGUAAUCCCAGCUACUCGGGAGGCUGAGGCAGAAGAAUCGCUUGAACCUAGGAGGCGGAGGCUGCAGUGAGCUGAGAUCGUGCCACUGCACUCCAGCCUGGGUGACAGAGCGAGACUCCAUCUCAA